UCCCUCUCUUCCUAAAAAUAAAUAAAUAAAAGAAAAGGGGAGAAGGUACAAAACAAGAAAAAAAUAUUUUCAAAUGUAGCAAUAAAAAUACAGUUAUUCCUCAGUUAACAUCAUUGAUAUAUUCUGUGACUAAGUGAACUAACAUAACAAAACCAUGGCAGAAUUUUACCAUAGGCUAACUGAAAUAAGUAAAAGUUAAGUUCCUAUGGCAUCUCAACAUAACAAAAUGACAGUGAACGAAAGAUGUUUUUUAGAAGACCUGCUAUAGUCACUCCUCAACUUACAAUGGUGUUAUGUUCCAAUAAAUUAGUCACAGUAAGUUGAAAAUCCCGUAAGUUGAAAAUGCAUCUAACCUACUGAACAUCAUAGUUUAGCCUGGCCUUAAAUGUGCUCAAAACACUUAUAUUAAUCAACAGUUGGGCAUAAGCAUCUAACAGUGAAUACACUGUAGUCUAUCAGUUGUCUGCUCUUGUGACUGCAUGCCUGACAGGGGGCUGUACUCACUAUUGCUGUCCAGCACCACCAGAAAGUAUGUAACACAUAUCAUGAGCCCAGAAACUGACCAAAAUUCAAAGUUCAAAGCAUUUCUAUUGAAUGCAUAUCACUUUCACGCCAUCAUAAAGUAAAAAAAAAUUUUAAUUUGAAUCAUUGUAAAUUGGGGACCAUCUGUAUUCCCCCUCGCUAGAAACCACAGUAUUAGAAAAAUUCAAAGAAUCACCUGAAGAAGAGGAAGA